GAAUUCCUGCGAUGUACGUUGUGAUUUGCUAUUCUCAAACCAACACAUUAACAUUGGGAGCUUAAGUCAUUUAACGAUGUAAUGCCUUUUCGAAAGGACUACAAAAGUAAGUGAGAUAGCACCCCCCUAGUAGCUAGGGCUUUGAGAAUAAAGAUCAUACGGCAUUGUGGGAUUCA
rnacentral:other from 1 species